CACCACGCUGAGAGAGGGAGAAAGAGAAGAGCAUCAGAGAGGGAUGACCGUGGCAGGAAGGAUGGUGUGUUAGGUGACUGGUUCAGACAGUGACAGUGGACAGAAGAAAUGCUGGAGAAAGAUUAGACCACAGGUGGUUCAUGUUGUACUAGUUCAAGGUUUGGCAGAAAACAUUUUUUUCUAGAUAGACAGUGGCAGCAAACACACAAGGGAGGAUGGUGUGGUGGACAAGAGGAUGCAGGGAGACGGCAGACAGAAUGGAAGCUACAGAUGAAAGAAGAGCAGGUCAAGCCAUGGCAGCAGACAGACAGACAGAGACAGAUUGGAUCAGAAAGUAUUAUUAUUUAGUGAGCACCAGAAGCAGUCUUCCUCACACGAACCGUUUCAUUGCCGGGACUUGAAGGCUGCUGAAGCAAUGCGGCGGAGGUCACGCCCCUUAAAGUAUUUAUACUUACUGUCAACACCAUAACUAAAGCAAACACUUUAGUGCAGGUAGUUAAAUAAGUGCAAUCAUUGUUCCAGAUUCCUAAAUUCACAAAGUACAUAAACUCAUUGAAAGUUUUUAGUGCAGGUAAUUAAAGUUUUAGUGAAAUAAUUGUUCCUAUUCCUAAUGUUGUGUGGUGCAUUACCUCAGACAGGCCCACUGGAAGCUGUCAGUCUGCUGCGGCACGUGGCAAGAACCAAGUGUUGAGGAGCACACGUUGUCCCUUCACCAGUCAGCAGGUUACAAAAAACAAUGCAGUAUUUUGUUGAGUAAUCAAAGUAAUGAAAUGUAAAUGAUAAAAUGUCAGUACUGAUUCAGUGUCACACUCCACCAUGGCAAAGACUGCCGGCUGAGUAAUAUUCAAGUUGUAUUAGUGAGACUCUACUCAAUGUUAAUUAAGGCAGGUGGAAGAAAAUAGUAAAAAAUGUAUCAUAGUACAAGAAAAUGACACUUCAAAGUGUAAACACAUCUUUAACAAGUAGACUUGAAUGGUCAUUAAGUAGUACAGCAGACCCUUCCUACAGUAAAUUCACUAUUAUUUGUUGACUGGCCUUAUUGUCUCAUUAUUUUACUUUGCUUAUUAUUCUGUUUUGUUUUCUCAUUAAUACUUGAGUGCCUUCAUUUUAUCUCUAUUAUUGUGACUUUGUCUCUCAUUAUGUUGCUUAUGUUGUCUACUCUCAUUAUCUGACAGACUGCUCGCCUUCACAGGUCUGGGCGGCUCGGAAGUCUCACUACAAACUGGAGAUCCAUUCUCUUGGACACAGCUGGAGUCGGACACAAGAUUCAAGAGGGAGUCAUUUUAACGAGAGCUUCAGGCAGAAAAUUCGAGUGGAUUUUCAUUUCUAAAAAUAUCUUAUUUUUUGGGGGGGAUAUUUUGAAUCCUUCUUUGUGGAAAAAUAACUCCAGAUAUUAUGAUUCUAGCUGGAAGUUGACCUGAGCAAUGUAGGGUUUGCUGCUGUGAGAUUAUCACCAAGGCACAAGUGUCCGGGAUUUAAAGAUGAUGGAAAUGUGUCCUGUGUGCUGCUGUGCUGGGAAGAGGAGAGGAGCAGCAGCAGUGGUGGGGCUCUGCUGCUGCUGUCACUAGUGCAGCUGCCUUCCCUCAACAUACUGUGUCUUCUCUCACCUGCAAUGAACAACUAUGAACAAUACUUUUGCGAUGAAGAACAGUGAAUAACACCUCUCCCCAUAUGAUUGCAAGUCUCUCUCUCUCUCUCUCUCUCUCUCUCUCUCUCUCUCUCUCUCUCUCUCUCUCUCUCUCUCUCUCUCUCUCUCCACAGUCCUACAGUAUGUCCCCCACAGUAUGUUUACAAACCCACAGUGACUCCCCACAGCCCCUCACCAACACCCUCACCAACAAUUGUCUCCACACACACACACACACACACACACACACACACACACACACACACCAUUACAUACACAAAUGUUGCAAUCUUGUACACACACACACACACACACACACACACACACACACACACACACACACACACACACACCAUUACAUACACAAAUGUUGCAAUCUUGUACACACACACACACACACACACACACACACACACACACACACACACACACACACACACACACACACACCAUUACAUACACAAAUGUUGCAAUCUUGUACAGUGUCUACAAUAAAGAAUGAAACCAAAAUCGACAA